rnacentral:rRNA from 1 species
UUAAGCGACUAAGCGUACACGGUGGAUGCCCUGGCAGUCAGAGGCGAUGAAGGACGUGCUAAUCUGCGAUAAGCGUCGGUAAGGUGAUAUGAACCGUUAUAACCGGCGAUUUCCGAAUGGGGAAACCCAGUGUGUUUCGACACACUAUCAUUAACUGAAUCCAUAGGUUAAUGAGGCGAACCGGGGGAACUGAAACAUCUAAGUACCCCGAGGAAAAGAAAUCAACCGAGAUUCCCCCAGUAGCGGCGAGCGAACGGGGAGCAGCCCAGAGCCUGAAUCAGUGUGUGUGUUAGUGGAAGCGUCUGGAAAGGCGCGCGAUACAGGGUGACAGCCCCGUACACAAAAAUGCACAUAUUGUGAGCUCGAUGAGUAGGGCGGGACACGUGGUAUCCUGUCUGAAUAUGGGGGGACCAUCCUCCAAGGCUAAAUACUCCUGACUGACCGAUAGUGAACCAGUACCGUGAGGGAAAGGCGAAAAGAACCCCGGCGAGGGGAGUGAAAAAGAACCUGAAACCGUGUACGUACAAGCAGUGGGAGCACGCUUAGGCGUGUGACUGCGUACCUUUUGUAUAAUGGGUCAGCGACUUAUAUUCUGUAGCAAGGUUAACCGAAUAGGGGAGCCGAAGGGAAACCGAGUCUUAACUGGGCGUUAAGUUGCAGGGUAUAGACCCGAAACCCGGUGAUCUAGCCAUGGGCAGGUUGAAGGUUGGGUAACACUAACUGGAGGACCGAACCGACUAAUGUUGAAAAAUUAGCGGAUGACUUGUGGCUGGGGGUGAAAGGCCAAUCAAACCGGGAGAUAGCUGGUUCUCCCCGAAAGCUAUUUAGGUAGCGCCUCGUGAAUUCAUCUCCGGGGGUAGAGCACUGUUUCGGCAAGGGGGUCAUCCCGACUUACCAACCCGAUGCAAACUGCGAAUACCGGAGAAUGUUAUCACGGGAGACACACGGCGGGUGCUAACGUCCGUCGUGAAGAGGGAAACAACCCAGACCGCCAGCUAAGGUCCCAAAGUCAUGGUUAAGUGGGAAACGAUGUGGGAAGGCCCAGACAGCCAGGAUGUUGGCUUAGAAGCAGCCAUCAUUUAAAGAAAGCGUAAUAGCUCACUGGUCGAGUCGGCCUGCGCGGAAGAUGUAACGGGGCUAAACCAUGCACCGAAGCUGCGGCAGCGACGCUGAUGCGUUGUUGGGUAGGGGAGCGUUCUGUAAGCCUGUGAAGGUGUGCUGUGAGGCAUGCUGGAGGUAUCAGAAGUGCGAAUGCUGACAUAAGUAACGAUAAAGCGGGUGAAAAGCCCGCUCGCCGGAAGACCAAGGGUUCCUGUCCAACGUUAAUCGGGGCAGGGUGAGUCGACCCCUAAGGCGAGGCCGAAAGGCGUAGUCGAUGGGAAACAGGUUAAUAUUCCUGUACUUGGUGUUACUGCGAAGGGGGGACGGAGAAGGCUAUGUUGGCCGGGCGACGGUUGUCCCGGUUUAAGCGUGUAGGCUGGUUUUCCAGGCAAAUCCGGAAAAUCAAGGCUGAGGCGUGAUGACGAGGCACUACGGUGCUGAAGCAACAAAUGCCCUGCUUCCAGGAAAAGCCUCUAAGCAUCAGGUAACAUCAAAUCGUACCCCAAACCGACACAGGUGGUCAGGUAGAGAAUACCAAGGCGCUUGAGAGAACUCGGGUGAAGGAACUAGGCAAAAUGGUGCCGUAACUUCGGGAGAAGGCACGCUGAUAUGUAGGUGAAGUCCCUUGCGGAUGGAGCUGAAAUCAGUCGAAGAUACCAGCUGGCUGCAACUGUUUAUUAAAAACACAGCACUGUGCAAACACGAAAGUGGACGUAUACGGUGUGACGCCUGCCCGGUGCCGGAAGGUUAAUUGAUGGGGUUAGCGCAAGCGAAGCUCUUGAUCGAAGCCCCGGUAAACGGCGGCCGUAACUAUAACGGUCCUAAGGUAGCGAAAUUCCUUGUCGGGUAAGUUCCGACCUGCACGAAUGGCGUAAUGAUGGCCAGGCUGUCUCCACCCGAGACUCAGUGAAAUUGAACUCGCUGUGAAGAUGCAGUGUACCCGCGGCAAGACGGAAAGACCCCGUGAACCUUUACUAUAGCUUGACACUGAACAUUGAGCCUUGAUGUGUAGGAUAGGUGGGAGGCUUAGAAGUGUGGACGCCAGUCUGCAUGGAGCCGACCUUGAAAUACCACCCUUUAAUGUUUGAUGUUCUAACGUUGACCCGUAAUCCGGGUUGCGGACAGUGUCUGGUGGGUAGUUUGACUGGGGCGGUCUCCUCCUAAAGAGUAACGGAGGAGCACGAAGGUUGGCUAAUCCUGGUCGGACAUCAGGAGGUUAGUGCAAUGGCAUAAGCCAGCUUGACUGCGAGCGUGACGGCGCGAGCAGGUGCGAAAGCAGGUCAUAGUGAUCCGGUGGUUCUGAAUGGAAGGGCCAUCGCUCAACGGAUAAAAGGUACUCCGGGGAUAACAGGCUGAUACCGCCCAAGAGUUCAUAUCGACGGCGGUGUUUGGCACCUCGAUGUCGGCUCAUCACAUCCUGGGGCUGAAGUAGGUCCCAAGGGUAUGGCUGUUCGCCAUUUAAAGUGGUACGCGAGCUGGGUUUAGAACGUCGUGAGACAGUUCGGUCCCUAUCUGCCGUGGGCGCUGGAGAACUGAGGGGGGCUGCUCCUAGUACGAGAGGACCGGAGUGGACGCAUCACUGGUGUUCGGGUUGUCAUGCCAAUGGCACUGCCCGGUAGCUAAAUGCGGAAGAGAUAAGUGCUGAAAGCAUCUAAGCACGAAACUUGCCCCGAGAUGAGUUCUCCCUGACUCCUUGAGAGUCCUGAAGGAACGUUGAAGACGACGACGUUGAUAGGCCGGGUGUGUAAGCGCAGCGAUGCGUUGAGCUAACCGGUACUAAUGAACCGUGAGGCUUAACCUU